rnacentral:rRNA from 1 species
GAUGAACGCUGGCGGCGUGCCUAAUACAUGCAAGUCGAGCGAACGGACGAGAAGCUUGCUUCUCUGAUGUUAGCGGCGGACGGGUAAGUAACACGUGGAUAACCUACCUAUAAGACUGGGAUAACUUCGGGAAACCGGAGCUAAUACCGGAUAAUUUUUUGAACCGCAUGGUUCAAAAGUGAAAGACGGUCUUGCUGUCACUUAUAGAUGGAUCCGCGCUGCAUUAGCUAGUUGGUAAGGUAACGGCUUACCAAGGCAACGAUGCAUAGCCGACCUGAGAGGGUGAUCGGCCACACUGGAACUGAGACACGGUCCAGACUCCUACGGGAGGCAGCAGUAGGGAAUCUUCCGCAAUGGGCGAAAGCCUGACGGAGCAACGCCGCGUGAGUGAUGAAGGUCUUCGGAUCGUAAAACUCUGUUAUUAGGGAAGAACAUAUGUGUAAGUAACUGUGCACAUCUUGACGGUACCUAAUCAGAAAGCCACGGCUAACUACGUG